GAAAUGCGAUAAGUAGUGUGAAUUGCAGAAUUCAGUGAAUCAUCGAAUCUUUGAACGCACAUUGCGCCCCUCGGUAUUCCGUGGGGCAUGCCUGUUCGAGCGUCAUCUACACCCUCAAGCUCUGCUUGGUGUUGGGCGUCUGUCCCGCCUCCGCGCGCGGACUCGCCCCAAAUGCAUUGGCAGCGGUUCCUUGCCCCCCUCUUUGCGCAGCACAUUGCCAUUCGAGGCGGCGGUGGCCCGCGUCCAACAAGCUCAACCCCCCCGUCUUUGACCUCGGAUCAGGUAGGGAUACCCGCUGAACUUAAGC
rnacentral:misc_RNA from 1 species